UUCCAGCUUUUUCGCAGUCAUAUCCAACCUUCCUCAUAUUUGGAACCAAGGUUAAGUUUGACUUUAAAUGCUGUACAUAGUUCAAUUAUUUGUUUCAGUGGAGUAUCCCAAAGGUUUGCUGCUGUGUGUUUUUAACGUUUUUACUUCUGCCAUCGUGUAAUUAAGAGGAAAAGGACUUGCACCUGUAGAGCAAAACCCACUUGGUAGACAAAGUUGGAUAAAAGGGGCGCGGUUGAACAGAGGAGCCAGGAGACAACGGGCAUAACGGAGCACAACAGCGGAGCACAGCGGAACACAGAAGGUGAAGGACGGCGUCAACAUCAGCUGGGAGUAAAUCGAGGACCACCCACGGAGGGGAAACAAACACCGGUCACUAGCUGCUGCAAGUGGGAGAAAGUUACACUUCUCCCUUCUGUGUUCUGCUGAGGGAAGGAGCCAGGAUAAGGAAGUGGAUGCCAACAGUAAAUGCACAAACUUUUAUCCUCCUGCCGUGGUGUUACAGCAUUAUUAUCACGUUUUAUUGUUUUAUCUGUUUGAGCUGUUUGUGCUCUUUUAGUUUUUCUACGGAGGAACUUUACUUGUGUUGGCUGCUUUUAAAAUAGAUAUUGUUGUGCCUCCAUUCUGAGUGUGUUCACUAUUUUAAAAUGCACCACUGGUUUUAACUGCUCUCCUACUGACAAAAAGUACCUUUUAAUAUCUUUAUCUAGAUUUUAAUCUUGUUUAUUUUAAGAGGUCCUAGGCCUCUAAACCAAACCUAGGUGGCAUCGUCAGCCCGAUUUUAUUUUUGUUUAUAUUUUU